UACUCUCCUAGAAACGUGGCUUACUAGCUAAAGACUGAAUCAAACAAACUAGAUGACCCUGUUGAAUAGGACUUAUUAACAGAAACAACAAACCAACCCUAGAAUCGUGCUAACUUCCUCAGCAAGACUCUGAAUACUUCAACAUUCAUCCCCAUGUCAAUCACUUUUUGAAACAAACACAGAGAAACCCUCUCAUGCGUUCUCUCGUGUUGGUAUUUGAAGUGUCAAUUUCAUCAGUCUCUCUAAACCAACCAAACCUAUUGUUUCACUAUUGUUACUAAGCCAUUCGAUUCAGUAUUAUUUGAUUUAGGGUUUCAAUUGGAUUUGUUUUGGGUUUUAGGGCUUUAUCUGGAAUUCAAUUUGGGGAUUUAAGGCACCGACAUCACUGACCGUCUCACCGGAAACUCUUGCUCCAGCGGUGCCCGUUUCUCCAGCGGCUUGCCUAUCCACAAAUGGGUCGUCAGUAGUUCAAGCUAUGCCCAUCCGUUUCUCAUUUACAAGAGGUUUGCUUAAAUUUUGGUCAUCUCCAUUAAGAAUAGCUACUUCGACGAACACCCUAACUUUCAAUUGGUUAUAUUCCCUCUCAAUUUGAGUCGAUUUGAUUUGAUCCCUCAGACAUCGAAUCGAGAGGUUCAUUUACCAGAGGCUUGCUGAACUGGGUAUUGUUUCUAAUCAUGUCUAAAGAGAUAUAUAUGAUUACAUAUCCUUGUUAGCUUACUGUCUAUUUUUGUUUUCAAUUGCCCUGAAUAUUUGAUUUGUGGUUAUUGUUUAGAAUUCUAAAUUGUUACUUUUCUUGUAUAAAGUUUGGAUCUUUCUUAUCUAGGCAUGUAGCUGUAGUUGUGGCUGUUUGAAUUUGUAAGCCUUUUCUUGUCUGCGUCUUUGAGUUUGAUUAUGAUUCUGGUGUACAACUCUGAAUUCUUGCAUAUCUCGAUUAAAGAUAGGUUUUUUGUUAUCUGGGCAUGUGGGUGUAGUUGUGGUUAUUGCAAAUUGUGUUAAAGUUCAGGGAUUUUUACUUAUUUAGAGUUUUAUAAAUUUGGAUUCUCUUUGGCUUGACUGUAAAAAUUAUAAACAGGCUUGUUCUAUUAAAAACUGGAGAGAACAGUUGCAGAAUUAACAGGAAGGUCUUUUCCUCUUGUCUUUAUUUCAAUUUUCUUUCAUUAUUUCUUACUUUCAAGUCAAACUAAUUUUUUUUGUGAAUUUCACAAUGCGGAAGUCUGACCAUGAAUUCAUCAAGGCCAAUGAUUACUUUUACAUGAAGGUGAUUGUGAUUCCUAUCUUGUUAUAUUUAUGUCUAUAUAAAGUACAAGGAUUUUGAAAAUUUACCCCUAAUUCACUAGUUAUUUUGUAUGGUGCUUAGUGCUUACUGUUACUAUAAAACAGAUUGGUGCAAUAUCAAUGUACUAGGGGCUCUCUUGGUAUCUUGAACUUAUAAAGUGGUAGAGUCUCAUUCGAGAGCUCUUUAGACCUAAGCCGUGCUUACUGAUAAAUUCCAUUAUUGUAGCUGUAUCAUAUCAGUUUGAGGAAUGUACUCCAUAAUGAAUUUGAGUUUUACAUCGAUUAAGUGUUUUUAUGCAGCUAUGUUUUGAAUGAACUUAAUCAUCAAGACCCCACUCAGCACCACACUUUUCAGAAAUUCUUUAGCACAAGCAACGCCCUUACAUAUACACGUGCACAUUGCCCUCCUAGAGACUUAUCAGUUCAUUUAAAAAGAUGGACUUUCAUCUUUAGUUAUGUGCAUCGUGGUGAAGCUUGGGCUGCUAAUAAAUUUCGUAAUAUGUGGCCACAACUUAAGGAGAUCAUGAUCGAUUAUGUUUGGCAACCGAAUAUAGCAGAUUCCCUGUUCGAACUUUGUUAUCAUGCAGAGUGUUGAAGAAAUUAAAAGAAGUCAUCCUGAAGAAAUUGAAAACUGCAAUAGCAUUCGAGAUUGCAAGAAUUAUAUGGAACAAUGGUUGUCUUCUCUUCAAAACUUUGAUGCCUCAAUUAGCUGAUAUCUCUUGAGGAUUAUCCGUUUGAAGAAUCAGAGCUGUUACAUAAUUGGCUAACUUAGUUGCUCUAGAUUAGUAUAGACAUUGCUCUAGAUAGUAGUUUUUUGCCUUAUGAGUUUAUUGAGAUGAUGCUCAUUAGGUUUAUGUAUGAAAGAAUUAUGGAUGUAUUUGUUGCCUGUAAUGACAGAUUCAAUACAAUAUGUCAUUUGUGUAGUUUCCAGAUUACAUCUUAAUAGAAAUACAAAUGUGACAUUUGAAA